UUGUGGAGCCCAUGUUUGCUUUGUAUUUCUUAUUGUAGUUCCUUGUUUCAGAAUGAUCACAGGAUCCCAAAGGCUACAGAAUGAACAAUACCCAACAUAUCUUCCUUCGGGCUCAUGUAUGUGUCUUCAAUGGAGAAUGUGGUAACGGAGGAAGAAAAUGUGAUGCUCCUUCUAGUGUUGUCCCUACAACUUGUCUAAGAUUCAAAAUGCAAAUUCCCAACUUCCCCUGCUAUCAGCAGACUGACCUGGAACAGCGUGAUCCUUCAGGUGGAAGGAGUAGGACCCAAGUGAUCAGAAAGGAUAUCACAUAGUCAGUGAUCAGCUGAGACUAAGUACGGACAGGGGAAGAAGAAUAUCCACUAGACUUUCACAAGUCACCAGUCAUGGAUUUCAGGAUCUGACUGCUUGUCAUCUUGGGAGACGUCAAGAUCUGACUGCUUGUCUUCAUGGGAGAUGUCAGGAUCUGAGUGCUUGUCACCACGGGAGACAUCAGGAUCUGACUGCUUGUCAUCUUGGGAGACGUCAGGAUCUGACUGCUUGUCAUCACGGGAGACGUCAGGAUCUGACUGCUUGUCAUCUUGGGAGAUGUCAGGAUCUGAGUGCUUGUUACCACGGGAGACAUCAGGAUCUGACUGCUUGUCAUCUUGGGAGACGUCAGGAUCUGACUGCUUGUCUUCAUGGGAGACGUCAGGUUCUGAGUUCCUGAAUGUAUCCUCCGUCUACAUGAGAGAGGGGGCUCUGGUCCUGACUUGGCUUCCUCCUGUCUUUGCUGAUGGAAGCUGGGUUUUGAUGAGAAACUUCUCCUGGCAUGCUAAGGUCUACUGACAGCAAAUGUAAAGUCUUAGAGGUCGAAGGCCUUGAUGACUGCCUUUCCUGACCGUGCACUGUUUCUAGUGAGUUUAAUUUAAUACAAAGCAAAACAAGUUUGAUAAUAGCCUCUGGCUGACUGCUGGAACCCACCACACACAGGAAUUCAUGACUGAGGGACAGCAGGGGCACUUCUCUCAUCACACAUGAUGCGCAGGCCACCCAGCGAGGCACCUCAUCUCCAGGUUGACAGUUCCUGGCUGA
rnacentral:lncRNA from 1 species